AUUGAACGCUGGCGGCAGGCCUAACACAUGCAAGUCGAGCGAGCGGCGGACGGGUGAGUAAUGUAUGGGGAACUGCCUGAUCGAGGGGGAUAACUACUGGAAACGGUAGCUAAUACCGCAUACUAUCUGAUGAGCCCAGAUGGGAUUGGCUUGUAGGUGGGGUAAUGGCUCACCUAGGCGACGAUCCCUAGCUGGUCUGAGAGGAUGAACAGCCACACUGUGACUGAGACACGGGCCAGACGCCUACGGGAGGCAGCGGUGGGGAAUAUUGCACAAUGGGGGCAAGCCUGAGGCGGCCAUGCCGCGAGUGUGAAGAGGGCCUUAGGGAUGUAAAGUACUUUCAGUCGGGAGGCGUUACUCGCAGAAGAAGCACCGGCUAACGCCGUGCCAGCAGCCGCGGUAAUUC
rnacentral:rRNA from 1 species